UGUGAAUUUGCGCGUUUUUUCCAGGUAGAGACGCAAACGACUUCUGUCUGGUGGAGAAGACGGCCGGCCCCAACGGCUGCGGGUCGGUUUCCCUGCAGGGCACAGUCCCUUGGCUCUGACUUCGAGGACACGGUGGGGUGCCCGCCUAGCCUCACGACAGAGCGCCCUCCCCUCCACUGCCCCCCGAACCAGCCUUGCCAUGUUGCUGGUUCCCAGGCUAAUACACACACCGGGGCCCCAGCUCAGCGCGCUCCCACAGAAAUGCAGCCUGAGCUCGUGCGUAAUUGAAACGUGCCGCGGCCGAAAGAGAGGAGUGGCCAGGAGCACGGGCAGUCUAGAAUGUCUUAUUUCAUGCAAUGUCACCAGAUUCCGUUUCAACGUCUACUCCAUAAAAAAAGGGAAACAUGGCGACACCAGAACAACGAAGGUGCGUUUCAAGCAGGAGGGACUUGCGCCGCCCCCAUCGUUCAAGCUGUGAUCACAACGAACUGGGUGCCGCCUUGCUGGCCACGGUCCAGGCGCUGGUUCCCGGCCAGUCCAGGGGCUGAACCGCGUGGAGGUGCACCACCCAGUGGCCACGCCUGGUAGUGCAGGGCCCUUCGGGAUCUGGGGCCUUCCAGAAGCCAGGGUGUGAUGUUGGGCUCACAUUCCGGGAACAUUCCUGGGGUGGGGUGGGGGGUGGAGAGGAGGCCAGGGGAAGUAGGGCUGUCGUGCCCCGGAUCUCCAGGUCACUGAGUGGCGAGCAGGCUCCACAAGGGUGUUUUGUACCCUCGGCCACCCGCCUGUACACGCUGACCUGCCCAACUCCCAGAAGGCCAGGCAGGGGCCUUUCCGAGCCGUUCC
rnacentral:lncRNA from 1 species